AGUAACACGUAGGUAACCUACCUCUAAGAUGGGGAUACCGUUCCGAAAGGAGCGCUAAUACCGAAUGUGGCCAUUUCCGGGCAUCCGGGAUUGAUCAAAGAUGGGGAUUCUUCGGAACCUGUCGCUUGGAGAGGGGCCUGCGUCCCAUCAGCUAGUUGGUGUGGUAACGGCGCACCAAGGCUUACGGGUAGGUGGUCUGAGAGGAUGGUCACCCACACUGGGACUGAGACACUGCCCAG
rnacentral:rRNA from 1 species